rnacentral:rRNA from 1 species
UUCGCAAUGCCCGAAAGGGUGACGAAGCGACGCCGCGUGCGGGAAGAAGGCCUUCGGGUUGUAAACCGCUGUCGGGGGUUAGGAAAUGCAAGGAUGUUAAUAGCAUCUUUGCUUGACUAAGGCUCCGGAGGAAGCCACGGCUAACUCUGUGCCAGCAGCCGCGGUAAUACAGAGGCGGCAAGCGUUGUUCGGAAUUAUUGGGCGUAAAGAGCACGUAGGCGGCCGUGUAAGUCGGUUGUGAAAGCCUUCCGCUCAACGGGAGAACGGCAUCCGAUACUGCAUGGCUCGAGUGCGGGAGGGGAGAGUGGAACUUCUGGUGGAGCGGUGAAAUGCGUAGAUAUCAGAAGGAACACCGGCGGCGAAGGCGACUCUCUGGCCCGUAACUGACGCUGAGUGUGCGAAAGCUAGGGGAGCAAACGGGAUUAGAUACCCCGGUAGUCCUAACUGUAAACGAUGGGCACUAAGUAGAGGGGUUUU